GAUGAACGCUGGCGGCGUGCCUAAUACAUGCAAGUCGAGCGAACAGACGAGGAGCUUGCUCCUCUGACGUUAGCGGCGGACGGGUGAGUAACACGUGGAUAACCUACCUAUAAGACUGGGAUAACUUCGGGAAACCGGAGCUAAUACCGGAUAAUAUAUUGAACCGCAUGGUUCAAUAGUUAAAGAGGGUUUGGCUGUCACUUUUAGAUGAAUCCGCGCCGCAUUAGCUAGUUGGUAAGGUAACGGCUUACCAAGGCGACGAUGCGUAGCCGACCUGAGAGGGUGAUCGGCCACACUGGAACUGAGACACGGUCCAGACUCCUACGGGAGGCAGCAGUAGGGAAUCUUCCGCAAUGGGCGAAAGCCUGACGGAGCAACGCCGCGUGAGUGAUGAAGGUCUUCGGAUCGUAAAACUCUGUUAUUAGGGAAGAACAAAUGUGUAAGUAACUAUGCACGUCUUGACGGUACCUAAUCAGAAAGCCACGGCUAACUACGUG
rnacentral:rRNA from 1 species